rnacentral:rRNA from 1 species
AGCGAACGCUGGCGGCAGGCCUAACACAUGCAAGUCGAACGAACCUUUCGGGGUUAGUGGCGGACGGGUGAGUAACACGUGGGAACGUGCCUUUAGGUUCGGAAUAACUCAGGGAAACUUGUGCUAAUACCGAAUGUGCCCUUCGGGGGAAAGAUCUAUCGCCUUUAGAGCGGCCCGCGUCUGAUUUAGCUAGUUGGUUGAGGUAAUGGCUCACCAAGGCGACGAUCAGUAGCUGGUCUGAGAGGAUGAUCAGCCACAUUGGGACUGAGACACGGCCCAAACUCCUACGGGAGGCAGCAGUGGGGAAUCUUGCGCAAUGGGCGAAAGCCUGACGCAGCCAUGCCGCGUGAAUGAUGAAGGUCUUAGGAUUGUAAAAUUCUUUCACCGGGGACGAUAAUGACGGUACCCGGAGAAGAAGCCCCGGCUAACUUCGUG